rnacentral:rRNA from 1 species
CCGAGUCUUAAUUGGGCGUUAAGUUGCAGGGUAUAGACCCGAAACCCGGUGAUCUAGCCAUGGGCAGGUUGAAGGUUGGGUAACACUAACUGGAGGACCGAACCGACUAAUGUUGAAAAAUUAGCGGAUGACCUGUGGCUGGGGGUGAAAGGCCAAUCAAACCGGGAGAUAGCUGGUUCUCCCCGAAAGCUAUUUAGGUAGCGCCUCGUGAAUUCAUCUCCGGGGGUAGAGCACUGUUUCGGCUAGGGGGCCAUCCCGGCUUACCAACCCGAUGCAAACUGCGAAUACCGGAGAAUGUUAUCACGGGAGACACACGGCGGGUGCUAACGUCCGUCGUGAAGAGGGAAACAACCCAGACCGCCAGCUAAGGUCCCAAAGUCAUGGUUAAGUGGGAAACGAUGUGGGAAGGCCCAGACAGCCAGGAUGUUGGCUUAGAAGCAGCCAUCAUUUAAAGAAAGCGUAAUAGCUCACUGGUCGAGUCGGCCUGCGCGGAAGAUGUAACGGGGCUAAACCAUGCACCGAAGCUGCGGCAGCGAACGUAUCACUUAAAGCGAUUCAGCGGGUUACGAUUGACGGAGCGAAGCGACGUCAAAGCGUAUACAAAGUCGAGUCGGUUUAAGGAUACGUUCGUUGGGUAGGGGAGCGUUCUGUAAGCCUGCGAAGGUGGCCUGUGAGGGUUGCUGGAGGUAUCAGAAGUGCGAAUGCUGACAUAAGUAACGAUAAAGCGGGUGAAAAGCCCGCUCGCCGGAAGACCAAGGGUUCCUGUCCAACGUUAAUCGGGGCAGGGUGAGUCGACCCCUAAGGCGAGGCCGAAAGGCGUAGUCGAUGGGAAACAGGUUAAUAUUCCUGUACUUGGUGUUACUGCGAAGGGGGGACGGAGAAGGCUAUGUUGGCCGGGCGACGGUUGUCCCGGUUUAAGCGUGUAGGUGUGUGUUCCAGGUAAAUCCGGUUCACUUUAACACUGAGGCGUGAUGACGAGGCACUACGGUGCUGAAGCAACAAAUGCCCUGCUUCCAGGAAAAGCCUCUAAGCAUCAGGUAACAUCAAAUCGUACCCCAAACCGACACAGGUGGUCAGGUAGAGAAUACCAAGGCGCUUGAGAGAACUCGGGUGAAGGAACUAGGCAAAAUGGUGCCGUAACUUCGGGAGAAGGCACGCUGACACGUAGGUGAAGUGAUUUACUCAUGGAGCUGAAGUCAGUCGAAGAUACCAGCUGGCUGCAACUGUUUAUUAAAAACACAGCACUGUGCAAACACGAAAGUGGACGUAUACGGUGUGACGCCUGCCCGGUGCCGGAAGGUUAAUUGAUGGGGUCAGCGCAAGCGAAGCUCCUGAUCGAAGCCCCGGUAAACGGCGGCCGUAACUAUAACGGUCCUAAGGUAGCGAAAUUCCUUGUCGGGUAAGUUCCGACCUGCACGAAUGGCGUAAUGAUGGCCAGGCUGUCUCCACCCGAGACUCAGUGAAAUUGAACUCGCUGUGAAGAUGCAGUGUACCCGCGGCAAGACGGAAAGACCCCGUGAACCUUUACUAUAGCUUGACACUGAACAUUGAGCCUUGAUGUGUAG